UUCCUCUAGGCUUCUGUAUAUGCCCAUUUAGAGAUGAACUGCCGAUAUUUGUUCCUCUAGGCAUUGGCAUAUGCCCAUUUGAAGAUGAACUGCUGAUAUUUGUUCCUCUAGGCAUUGGUAUAUGCCCAUUUGAAGAUGGGAUGUUGAUGCUUGUUCCUCUAGACAUCUGUAUAUGCCCAUUUGAAGAUGGAAUGUAAGAGUUUGUUCCUCUAGGCAUCUGCAUAUUUCCAUUUGAAGGUGAACUGUUGGAGCUUGUUCCUGGACCAGCAUAUUGAAAAUGAGGCUGUAACUGCAGUGG
rnacentral:lncRNA from 1 species